GACGAGCGCUGGCGGCGUGCUUAACACAUGCAAGUCGAACGGAAAGGCUCCAGCUUGCUGGAGUACUCGAGUGGCGAACGGGUGAGUAACACGUGGGUAAUCUGCCCUGCACUCUGGGAUAAGCCUGGGAAACUGGGUCUAAUACUGGAUAUGACCUUUCUCCUUAUGGGGUUUGGUGGAAAGUUUUUCGGUGUAGGAUGAGCCCGCGGCCUAUCAGCUUGUUGGUGGGGUGAUGGCCUACCAAGGCGACGACGGGUAGCCGGCCUGAGAGGGUGAUCGGCCACAUUGGGACUGAGAUACGGCCCAGACUCCUACGGGAGGCAGCAGUGGGGAAUAUUGCACAAUGGGCGGAAGCCUGAUGCAGCGACGCCGCGUGAGGGAUGACGGCCUUCGGGUUGUAAACCUCUUUCAGCAGGGACGAAGCGUAAGUGACGGUACCUGCAGAAGAAGCACCGGCUAACUAUGUG
rnacentral:rRNA from 1 species